rnacentral:rRNA from 1 species
UACAGAGGGGGCAAGCGUUAUUCGGAAUUAUUGGGCGUAAAGGGCGCGUAGGCGGCGAUUCAAGUGACGGGUGAAAUCCCUCGGCUUAACCGAGGAACUGCCUGUCAGACUGGAUUGCUUGAGGCCGGGAGAGGUGAGUGGAAUUCCCAGUGUAGCGGUGAAAUGCGUAGAUAUUGGGAGGAACACCAGUGGCGAAGGCGGCUUCCUGGACACCAACUGACGCUGAGACGCGAAAGCGUGGGGAGCAAACAGG